CAGCCCUGUAGGAGACACCUCCAGAGAAAGUAACAGCUCUCAAUUGAUUAGCUGAGGAGACCGAUUUUGUAAAUCACUACUUUUCUAACAACACUGGCACAGAUGGCCAAGCAUUCUCCCUUUUCUCAGAGCUGGUUUUCCAUCCCGGAAAGAGGUCUUACAUAUACAAAGUUACUCUAAUCAGUUGUGAGCAUGGUCAUAUAAAUUGUUAUUUAUUCAAAUUAUGGAAUAUUAUAAAGCAGUGAAAAACAAGUUAACUAUAACCAGAUGGAAUAACUUUGGUAUGUACUGUGUGACUUAAAUAUUGAGUUUAUUUUUAUCAAAUACCUGUCAAGAAAGAAAGUCAAUUCUGAAACAGCAGAAGCUCAAAGUUCUACAGAUGGCUUUCAAAGGAAUUUGAAUUAGACAUCAUUUGAUGUUGCAAAAAACAAUGAC
rnacentral:lncRNA from 10 species